rnacentral:lncRNA from 1 species
CUCAUAUUUGUAUUAAUUUUUUGUUUGUUUUUUUAUAUUAUUUUUUCGACAAUUAAUUAAUUAAUGUUAUCAUCCAUUUUUACAAUGAAAAUAUGUUUUAUGCUUUGUUUAUUUUUUUCUGUGCUAUCAUAUUUUUAUCAAACGAUGAGAAUAAAUAUGUCAAUAAUAUAACAUUCGAAAAAAAAAUAGGGAAUCAGGUAAAUUUAAGAUUAUUAAGUAACAAAAGAAACCAAAGGGUAUCUUCAACAUAUGACAAAUUGCUUUUUGUUUUCUUUAAGAACAAAAAAAAGUGGAAUGGAAAUGUAAAAAGUAAGAGGAAAAUAAAAAAUAGAAGAAUUUAUUUUGAAAGGAAUGGAAUAAAUGUACCUCAAGAUAUAGCAAUGUUUGGAAAUACUAACAUUUAUUAUAUAAGGGAAAGUAUUUAUAAUAAAAAUGAGAAUAAUUUAGUGCCAAAUGAAAUUGAUAAUGAAUAUAUUGAAGAGCUUAAUAAUUUAAAAGAAGACGAUGAAGAAGUAAAAAAUGAAAGUAUAAAUAAUGAAUAUAAUCAUAAUGCUAAAGAAAACAAGAAUACUGGCCAAACAAAUGCUGAAGAAACUUUAAAUAUGUUAAAGUAUCCUAUAGACAAUAACUUUAAUAGUAACAACACGGACAAGCAGGAUAGUAUGCAACAAAACAAAAAAUUUGAAAAAGAAAAAAAUACUAAUACUACUAACAGUAUUUUUAAUUAUAUAAAUCAAGACAAAGAAUAUAUUUCACAAGUUGAGAAUUCCCCGAAAGUUGAUGUGUAUGAAAGAAGAUAUAAAGCGAAUGAAAAAAAAAUAUAUACCAUAUUUGAAAAUAUAAAUGAAGUUAAUAUACAAUUGUUGAAAGAUAUUAAAAGUAUUGAUGAAAAGGAAAAACUAAUAAAUAAAAGAGUAAUAGAAAAAGUAAGAGAAGAUAUAAAAAAAUAUCAAGAAACAAAUGAAAUUAUGGACAUUAAAGGGAAUAUGAUGAAACUAUCCACAGAAAAUAAAAAUAAAAAUAAAGGUAAAGAGGACACAAAAGAAAAAAAUAACCCAAACUUGGAUAUGGAUGAAGAAGAAAAAAAUGAAGUAAUUAAAAAACUCUAUAUGAUUGAUAAAAAAACCGAAAAAUAUUUAGAAGAAAAUGUUUAUUUUGUUAUACAAACGUGGCUACCUGAUAUAAGAAUUGACGACACACUUAUAGUUAUUGAUAGUAUUGAAAAAUUGUAUAAUAAUUUUGACAUUUCAAAAUACUAUGAAAAAUUCAAAGAAAUAAAAAAUAAAAAUUUUUCUUAUGAUAUAUCUUCUUAUGAAAUUGAAAAUAUUCCAAAAGAUAUUAAUGAUGAUACCGAAAUAGAAUGUGAACAUGUUCGUUCUUAUAAUAAUACGUACAAUAAGCUAAAUAAUUAUAAUCAGAAAAAGUAUUCAUAUACUUACACAACAAAUGAAAACAUGGAUACAAAAGUUGUAAAAAACGAACCUAUGCCACCAAUAGUCCUAAUUAACACAAAAAAAAAUUUAAUGGUUCAAGAAUGGGAAUGUAAAAAUUUUAAAAAUCGACAAAAAAAAAAUAAAGCGUAUGAAUAUACAAGAAUACAAAGAGCGUUCAGACCAUUUUCUUAU